CAGCUAAUUUCACCAGAUCUUCUUGCUGCCUGAUGUUGGUGCUUAUUAACUGAGAGAAGAGCACAGUAUGGCAUCUGAACAGAUCAUCAUGAACUUCAUUCAGUUACAUCAGCCAAUGCAGACCAUUCCAACAGUCCAGUCACUCAGCCCUAUCCAGAAACUCUCAAGGUCCUACACUACUUCCUCCUACAACACCCUGAUGAGAAUUCACUCACUCAGUAGCCUGGGUGAUGGCACCUACAGGCCUGUUUGAGGGACAAUUGGACAGAACAUAUCAGAAUGCUUGGACCUCGGCUGAGACUCACCUCUCCUUCCCAGUCUUUCAAGGAAAGCACCUACUUUACACUUCCUGUUUGGCAUGAUGCUCUCUAGGUGUGUCUCUUUCAUGUUGUGUGGUACAUUACCUAUAGAUGACUCCUAGACACUUUCACAUAGUUUGUCUCUAAAUUGGUGUCCACAUCAGGCUAUUUACUUGUUACCUGUGUGUUAGAAUAAUGCGUCCCUUUCACAUAAUUUCAAUGAUUCCUCCACUGCCACAUGCUCUGUCUUUCUCGCCAUGAUACAUUAGGGGAAGUUGCUUUUCUGUUGGCACCAAUCCCACGCUGCCAGUAGUUUUUUUUGGCUCUGUGUAAAACAAAAUAAAAC
rnacentral:lncRNA from 1 species